GAUGAACGCUGGCGGCGUGCUUAACACAUGCAAGUCGAACGAAGCAUUUAGGACAGAUUACUUCGGUUUGAAGUUCUUUAUGACUGAGUGGCGGACGGGUGAGUAACGCGUGGGUAACCUGCCUUGUACUGGGGGAUAGCAGCUGGAAACGGCUGGUAAUACCGCAUAAGCGCACAAUGUUGCAUGACAUGGUGUGAAAAACUCCGGUGGUAUAAGAUGGACCCGCGUCUGAUUAGCUAGUUGGUGAGAUAACAGCCCACCAAGGCGACGAUCAGUAGCCGACCUGAGAGGGUGACCGGCCACAUUGGGACUGCGACACGGCCCAGACUCCUACGGGAGGCAGCAGUGGGGAAUAUUGCACAAUGGAGGAAACUCUGAUGCAGCGACGCCGCGUGAGUGAAGAAGUAAUUCGUUAUGUAAAGCUCUAUCAGCAGGGAAGAUAGUGACGGUACCUGACUAAGAAGCUCCGGCUAAAUACGUG
rnacentral:rRNA from 1 species